rnacentral:rRNA from 1 species
GACGAACGCGGCGGCGUGCCUAAUACAUGCAAGUAGAACGCUGAAGGAGGAGCUUGCUUCUCCGGAUGAGUUGCGAACGGGUGAGUAACGCGUAGGUAACCUGCCUGGUAGCGGGGGAUAACUAUUGGAAACGAUAGCUAAUACCGCAUAAGAGUAGAUGUUGCAUGACAUUUGCUUAAAAGGUGCAAUUGCAUCACUACCAGAUGGACCUGCGUUGUAUUAGCUAGUUGGUGGGGUAACGGCUCACCAAGGCGACGAUACAUAGCCGACCUGAGAGGGUGAUCGGCCACACUGGGACUGAGACACGGCCCAGACUCCUACGGGAGGCAGCAGUAGGGAAUCUUCGGCAAUGGACGGAAGUCUGACCGAGCAACGCCGCGUGAGUGAAGAAGGUUUUCGGAUCGUAAAGCUCUGUUGUAAGAGAAGAAACGAGUGUGAGAAGUGGAAAAGUUCACAACUGGG